rnacentral:pre_miRNA from 1 species
UAUAUAUUCCCUUCGUCCGAAAAUACUUGUCAUACAAAUGGAUGUAUUUAGAACUAAUAUACAUCUAGAUACAUUCAUUUCUUGGAUAAGUAUUUCCGGACGAAGAGUAUGUGUC